rnacentral:tRNA from 1 species
ACCCAGGUGGUUCAUUGGUAGAAUUCCUGCCUUCCAUGAAGGAAAUCCAGGUCAGAUUCCUGGCCAAAGCA